UUCAAAUGAUGUUUAUCUCACGAUGGUCUUCCAAGCCUGUCGGGCCCUGACGACGAUGCCAGACGGCAAAGCUGAUGUGGUGUU